rnacentral:lncRNA from 1 species
CUCUUCCUCUCAUUGGGAAGAACUUUUCUUUUCCAAUUUUCUACUAUAAAAUCAGCAAGAGAGCCUCUCUUUGAUGCCUUAGAAUCAACAGCAAACUCUUACAAAAAUCCUUCAAAAGGAGUUGGAGGAGAGGCUUAGGCGUGCAUGUGGGAUUUGGGGCCUCCAACUCUUGGACACCCCCUCCUUUUUUACUUUUGGGCAACAAGAAGAGAGGGAAGAGGGGUGCCUUCUUUUUCUCACAA